rnacentral:lncRNA from 1 species
AUGCUGUGGAUGGUAGGGAAGAAAAGCCUGCUGCUGCUGACUCUAAUGUUAAGCCAUCCACUCAAGUUAUAGCAGCAAGCAUGUCUGCAUUCGAUCCACUAAAGAAUCAGGAUGAAAUCAGCAAGAAUGUCAUGUCAGCAUUUGGCUUGACAGAUGAUCAGGUGUCAGGCCCACCCAGUGCCCCUGCAGAAGAACGGUCAGGAACACCAGACAGCAUCGCUUCCUCCUCUUCUGCAGCCCAUCCCCCUGGCGUGCAGCCCCAGCAGGCACCGUACCCAGGAGCACAGCCGCAGACGGGUCAGCAGGUGGAAGGCCAGAUGUACCAGCAGUACCAGCAGCCGGGUUACCCUGCCCAGCAGCCACAGGCGCAGCCCCAGCAGCAAUACGGCGUGCAGUACCCAGCCGGCUACAGCCCGCAGCAGGCCGCCUCACAGCCGGCGCAGCAGUUCCCAGCCUACAGCCAGCAACCGGCCCCAGCCGCCGCCUUCCCAGGGCAGGGCCAGGCCCAGCAGCUGCCGGCACAGCAGCCGCAGCAGGCCCCNNNNNNNNNNNNNNNNNNNNNNNNNNNNNNNNNNNNNNNNNNNNNNNNNNNNNNNNNNNNNNNNNNNNNNNNNNNNNNNNNNNUUCCCAGCCCCUGCCCGGCUCCACCCCCCCGCCUGGCAGCACCAUGACGCCACCACCCACCGGGCCCAACCCGUACGCCCGCACCCGGCCGCCUUUUGGGCCCCAGGGCUACGCGCAGCCCGGGCCUGGCUACCGGUAAGGGCCGAGUGCCCGGUGCUGGCUGCUGCGGCCUGACAGCCGUCCCCACCGAGAUCUGGAGCUGUACCGAGGCAGAAGAGUCGCCGUAAGUGUUCAUUAGUUCUGCGGGGGGAGGGAAGGAGCGACCAAGCCGUUCAUGCUUUGAAUUGUAUCCGCUUCCUAGUUUAAUUUGGGGCUGGGGUGGUUUGGGAACACUACCUACGUGUUUGUCAAGUGAUCAAUUGACAUCCUAGCUUGCCUCGUUUGAAGGAUAUUAAAAUGCUAGCUGGAAGUUUAGCCCACUAAUAACAUGAUUUACUAAAUUAGAUUAAUUUGGAGGUAAAAACUAGAUAUGAUGUAUUAUAAAUUGUAAAAAAACCCUGAAUCUAUUAUGUGCCUAGUCUUGAUUUUUAAAGUCUAGGUAGUGCAGAACAAGAACACUACAUAACAACAAGUGUGCACCAUGCUCAGUGUGCAGACAGAGAGCUGGGUAAUGAUAAGCGGUGCUCACGUUUGUGGGCACGUGGCAUUAGGUGUGUAAAUGGAGAACUGUUCCCAAGACAUAGAAUCACAGACUCAUUUGAAUUGGAAGGGUCCCUUAAAGGUCGUCUGGUCUAACUCCCCUGUAAUGAACAGGGAUAUCUACAGCUGGAUCAGGUUGCUCAGAGCCCUGUUCAGCUUCAUCUGAAAUCUCUCUGCCAAUGCCUCACUACCCUUAUUGUAAAAAACUUCUUCCUUGUAUACAGUCCAAAUCUCCCUUCUUUCAAUUUGAAACCAUUUCCCCUUGUUCUGUUACAGCAAACAAUGAUAAAGAAUCUGUCUCCUUCUUUCUUAUGAGGCUGGCCCUCUUUUAGAUACCGAAAGGCUGCUCUCAGGUCACCUCAGAGCCUUCUCUUUGGGCUGCCCCAGCUUUCUCACCCUCUCCUCAUAGGAGAGGUGCUGGUUAUCUCAUAUCACCUCGCUCUCUUCCAUGUACCUUAGCACAGCUACCAGGAGGAUCUGAUCCAGGAUAUUCCCCUGCACAGAGGUGAGGCUGACAGGUUUGUAGUUCCCUGGGUCAUUCUUUCUACUCUUCUUAAAAAUGGAUGCAACAUUACCAUUUUUCCAGUUAGCAGGAACUUCACCUGACCACCAUGACCUUUCAGAUAUCAUUGAGAGUGGCUUGGUGACUGUGUCAGCCAAUUCCCUUAGGACUCUGGAAUGCAUCUCAUUGAUACCAUAAAUUUACUGACAUUCAGGUAACACAGGUGGUCAAAAACUAUAUCUUUGCUUACAGCAGGAAAGGGAUCACUCCCCAAGAUCCCAACUUCUAAACCAUCUGCUCAAAAGCUGGGUGUAGAGCAGGUGCCAGUGAAGGCUGAAGCAAAAAAAGAUCUUGAGUACUUCAGCCUUCUCCUUGUCUGUUGUAACCAGCCUGUCUGUAUGUGUCACUAGGAGGGUUCACACUCCUGGAUAUCCUUUUCCACUUGAUGUACCUGCAGAAGCCUUUCUUUGUGCCCCUUGCCAAGUCUAGUUCCAUUUGGGUCUUGUCUUUCCUGACCCCAUCCCUACACAGCCCAGCAGCACCUCUACUCUCCACCUAGAGUACCUGUGGACUGCCUGUACAUUUUCUUCUUGCUCUUCAGUUUGACCAGCAGGUCCUGGUUCAGACAUGCCAUUCUUUUGCCUUCCUUUCCUGACUUCUUACACUUGGGGAGGGAGAACUCUUGUGCACCAAGGAAAAUUUCUUUAAGAUUCUGCCAGUUCUGCUCUACUCCCUUGUCCUUGAUGGAUUCUCAGAGGGUUUUGUUGGCUAAUUGCCCAAGAGCUGGAAUUUGGCUUUCCUAAAAUCAUGCUUCCUGAUUUUACCCUUUGCCUGUCCAAUAUCCCUUAGGAGCUUGAACUCCACCAUUGUAUGGUCACUACAGCCCCUGCAGCCUUCAAUCCUGAUGUCACCGAUCAGUUCACUCAUGUUGGCGAGCAGCAGGUCCAGCAUUGCAUCCCCCCUGGUUGGGCUGUUACCCCGCUCAGGAAGUUAUCCGUGAUACAUUCCAGGAGCACUGUGGAUCACUCACAACUCACUGUGCUACGUUCCCAGCAGAGGUCAGGGUGGUUGAAGUCUCCCAACAGGGUGACUGCCUGCAAACACGAUGCCUCCUGUAGCUGGAGGAGGAAGGCUUCACCAACAGGCUCCACUUGAUCAGGUAGCCUAUAAUGGACCCCCAAACCACAAGUCUCUCUUUGUUGCUUCUGUCUCUGUCACCCACAGGUUUUCCACUUGCUUGUGGUCAUUCUUAAGGGACAGCUCUUAACACUCUAUUCUUCUCUUGAUGUAGAGGGCAGCACUUUCUCCACUGUUUCCUCAACAGUCCCUUCUCAGCAGCUUGUAGCCAUCAGACAUGGGAAUCAUCCCUCUGGAUUUUGGUGACAGCAACUACAUCAUGGUUUUCCAGUAGCACGGUGGCUUCCAACUCCUCCUCUUUAUUUCCCAAGCUGUGUGUGUUGGUGUAGAGACACUUCAGCUGGGCAGCUGGUCUUGUCAUCUUCCUGGAGGAUAAAUCCUUAAUUCCUUUGAAGUAUUUACCAUUAGUCUUCCUACUGCCUUCAUCAUCAUAAGAUUUCAAGUGUGCAGCAGAGUUAGGCCCCCCACUAGCACCUUGUCCCUCUAACUCAGCUGUGCUGUUCCACUCCUUGUUAUCUUCCUUUUCAAACUCAUUGUAAAGCUCUUGCAGCCACCAUGCAGCAGCAGAUGGUUUUGCACUGUCUGCUGUUGCUAAUUGUCAGGUAACUUUUCCCAAAUAUAGCUAUAGCUAACAUCUAGAAUCUUAGAAUUAACCCCUUAAAUACUUUAACAGGGGGAGGAGGAGAACAGGUUCAUUACUUAAAAGAUGAAGCCAAAUCCAUAUUUUAAUAAAGAAUUGUUAAAGGGGAACA